rnacentral:rRNA from 1 species
UACAUGCAAGUCGAACGAACUCUGGUAUUGAUUGGUGCUUGCAUCAUGAUUUACAUUUGAGUGAGUGGCGAACUGGUGAGUAACACGUGGGAAACCUGCCCAGAAGCGGGGGAUAACACCUGGAAACAGAUGCUAAUACCGCAUAACAACUUGGACCGCAUGGUCCGAGUUUGAAAGAUGGCUUCGGCUAUCACUUUUGGAUGGUCCCGCGGCGUAUUAGCUAGAUGGUGGGGUAACGGCUCACCAUGGCAAUGAUACGUAGCCGACCUGAGAGGGUAAUCGGCCACAUUGGG